rnacentral:rRNA from 1 species
AUUGAACGCUGGCGGCAGGCUUAACACAUGCAAGUCGAGCGGGGUGAUGGUGCUUGCACUAUCACUUAGCGGCGGACGGGUGAGUAAUGCUUAGGAAUCUGCCUAUUAGUGGGGGACAACACCUCGAAAGGGAUGCUAAUACCGCAUACGUCCUACGGGAGAAAGCAGGGGAUCACUUGUGACCUUGCGCUAAUAGAUGAGCCUAAGUCGGAUUAGCGAGUUGGUGGGGUAAAGGCCUACCAAGGCGACGAUCUGUAGCGGGUCUGAGAGGAUGAUCCGCCACACUGGGACUGAGACACGGCCCAGACUCCUACGGGGGGCAGCAGUGGGGAAUAUUGGACAAUGGGGGGAACCCUGAUCCAGCCAUGCCGCGUGUGUGAAGAAGGCCUUAUGGUUGUAAAGCACUUUAAGCGAGGAGGAGGCUCUUUUGGUUAAUACCCAAGAUGAGUGGACGUUACUCGCAGAAUAAGCACCGGCUAACUCUGUGCCAGCCGCCGCGGUAA